rnacentral:rRNA from 1 species
UAGGGAAUCUUCGGCAAUGGACGGAAGUCUGACCGAGCAACGCCGCGUGAGUGAAGAAGGUUUUCGGAUCGUAAAGCUCUGUUGUAAGAGAAGAACGAGUGUGAGAGUGGAAAGUUCACACUGUGACGGUAUCUUACCAGAAAGGGACGGCUAACUACGUGCCAGCAGCCGCGGUAAUACGUAGGUCCCGAGCGUUGUCCGGAUUUAUUGGGCGUAAAGCGAGCGCAGGCGGCUAGAUAAGUCUGAAGUUAAAGGCUGUGGCUUAACCAUAGUAGGCUUUGGAAACUGUUUAACUUGAGUGCAAGAGGGGAGAGUGGAAUUCCAUGUGUAGCGGUGAAAUGCGUAGAUAUAUGGAGGAACACCGGUGGCGAAAGCGGCUCUCUGGCUUGUAACUGACGCUGAGGCUCGAAAGCGUGGGGAGCAAACAGGAUUAGAUACCCUGGUAGUCCACGCUGUAAACGAUGAGUGCUAGGUGUUAGACCCUUUCCGGGGUUUAGUGCCGUAGCUAACGCAUUAAGCACUCCGCCUGGGGAGUACGACCGCAAGGUUG